rnacentral:rRNA from 1 species
UGGGGAAUAUUGCACAAUGGGCGCAAGCCUGAUGCAGCCAUGCCGCGUGUAUGAAGAAGGCCUUCGGGUUGUAAAGUACUUUCAGCGGGGAGGAAGGGAGUAAAGUUAAUACCUUUGCUCAUUGACGUUACCCGCAGAAGAAGCACCGGCUAACUCCGUGCCAGCAGCCGCGGUAAUACGGAGGGUGCAAGCGUUAAUCGGAAUUACUGGGCGUAAAGCGCACGCAGGCGGUUUGUUAAGUCAGAUGUGAAAGCCCCGGGCUCAACCUGGGAACUGCAUCUGAUACUGGCAAGCUUGAGUCUCGUAGAGGGGGGUAGAAUUCCAGGUGUAGCGGUGAAAUGCGUAGAGAUCUGGAGGAAUACCGGUGGCGAAGGCGGCC